rnacentral:rRNA from 1 species
UACGUAGGUGACAAGCGUUGUCCGGAUUUACUGGGCGUAAAGAGCGCGCAGGCGGUCGUUCAAGUCGAGUGUGAAAGCCCCCGGCUCAACUGGGGAGGGUCACUCGAUACUGAUCGACUCGAAGGCAGGAGAGGGAAGUGGAAUUCCCGGUGUAGUGGUGAAAUGCGUAGAUAUCAGGAAGAACACCAAUGGCGAAGGCAGCUCUCUGGGACGGUACUGACGCUGAGACGCGAAAGCGUGGGGAGCGAACAGG